UACGAGAGGCCCAAACGUUAUUCGGAAUUACUGGGCUUAAAGAGUUCGUAGGCGGCAUGAAAAGUAGGGUGUGAAAGCCCUCGGCUCAACCGAGGAAUUGCGCUCUAAACUGUCGUGCUAGAGGAAGCUAGAGGUGAGCGGAACUGAUGGUGGAGCGGUGAAAUGCGUUGAUAUCAUCAGGAACACCGGAGGCGAAGGCGGCUCACUGGGGCUUUUCUGACGCUGAGGAACGAAAGCCAGGGUAGCGGAACGGG
rnacentral:rRNA from 1 species